rnacentral:rRNA from 1 species
GACAGAGGGGGCAAGCGUUACUCGGAAUUACUGGGCGUAAAGCGUGCGUAGGUGGUUUGUUAAGUCUGUUGUGAAAGCCCCGGGCUCAACCUGGGAAUGGCAAUGGAUACUGGCAAGCUAGAGUGCGGUAGAGGGUAGUGGAAUUCCCGGUGUAGCGGUGAAAUGCGUAGAGAUCGGGAGGAACACCAGUGGCGAAGGCGGCUACCUGGACCAGCACUGACACUGAGGCACGAAAGCGUGGGGAGCAAACAGG